rnacentral:rRNA from 1 species
ACGCUGGCGGCAGGCCUAACACAUGCAAGUCGAGCGGUAGAGAGAAGCUUGCUUCUCUUGAGAGCGGCGGACGGGUGAGUAAUGCCUAGGAGUCUGCCUGGUAGUGGGGGAUAACGUUCGGAAACGGACGCUAAUACCGCAUACGUCCUACGGGAGAAAGCAGGGGACCUUCGGGCCUUGCGCUAUCAGAUGAGCCUAGGUCGGAUUAGCUAGUUGGUGGGGUAAUGGCUCACCAAGGCGACGAUCCGUAACUGGUCUGAGAGGAUGAUCAGUCACACGGGAACUGAGACACGGUCCAGACUCCUACGGGAGGCAGCAGUGGGGAAUAUUGCACAAUGGGCGCAAGCCUGAUGCAGCCAUGCCGCGUGUGUGAAGAAGGCCUUAGGGUUGUAAAGCACUUUCAGCGAGGAGGAAGGCGUUGUAGUUAAUAGCUGCAACGAUUGACGUUACUCGCAGAAGAAGCACCGGCUAACUCCGUGCCAGCAGCCGCGGUAAUACGGAGGGUGCAAGCGUUAAUCGGAAUUACUGGGCGUAAAGCGCACGCAGGCGGUUUGUUAAGUCAGAUGUGAAAUCCCCGAGCUUAACUUGGGAACUGCAUUUGAAACUGCCAAGCUAGAGUCUUGUAGAGGGGGGUAGAAUUCCACGUGUAGCAGUGAAAUGCGUAGAUAUGUGGAGGAACACCGAUGGCGAAGGCAGCCCCCUGGGUCAAGAUUGACGCUCAUGCACGAAAGCGUGGGGAGCAAAC